UACGUAGGGGGCAAGCGUUGUCCGGAUUUAUUGGGCGUAAAGAGCGUGUAGGCGGCCAGACAGGUCCGUUGUGAAAACUCGAGGCUCAACCUCGAGACGCCGAUGGAAACCGUCUGGCUAGAGUCCGGAAGAGGAGAGUGGAAUUCCUGGUGUAGCGGUGAAAUGCGCAGAUAUCAGGAAGAACACCCGUGGCUAAGGCGGCUCUCUAGUACGGUACUGACGCUGAGACGCGAAAGCGUGGGAAGCGAACAGG
rnacentral:rRNA from 1 species